CACAUAACACACAGCUGUCUGUCGCGAUCAGUUGGAUAACUGCGGAGGGGGUUCUGUUGGUCCGAACGGAGACAGAAUGGGGAAAAUAGAAUGGGCUAUGUGGGCCAAUGAACAGGCUCUGGCGGCGGGGCUCAUUCUCCUUACUGGUGGCAUAGUGGGGUGGCCGGCCCAGUUCAGGGACUGGGAGUUUGCUGCUUAUUCUAUAGCUGCAGGGGUGUUUGUUUGUCUACUAGAGUACCCAAGGGGCAAGAGAAACAAGGGCACCAGUGUAGAAAGGACGUGAGUACCCACAUAUGUAACAAUAUUGCUUCCGUCCUUCUCCUC